rnacentral:rRNA from 1 species
GCGGCUUAAUUUGACUCAACACGGGGAAACUUACCAGGUCCAGACAUAGUAAGGAUUGACAGACUGAGAGCUCUUUCUUGAUUUUAUGGGUGGUGGUGCAUGGCCAUUCUUAGUUGGUGGAGCGAUUUGUCUGGUUAAUUCUGUUAACGAACGAGACCUCAACCUGCUAACUAGCUACGUGGAGGCAUCCCUUCACGGCCGGCUUCUUAGAGGGACUAUGGCCGUUUAGGCCAAGGAAGUUUGAGGCAAUAACAGGUAUGUGGGUCCCUUAGAUGUUCAACGAGUUCACAC